rnacentral:rRNA from 1 species
GACGAACGCUGGCGGCGUGCUUAACACAUGCAAGUCGAACGAUGAAAGUGGAGCUUGCUCCGCUGGAUUAGUGGCGAACGGGUGAGUAACACGUGGGCAACCUGCCCCAGACUCUGGGAUAACUCCUCGAAAGAGGUGCUAAUACCGGAUACGAACUCCUUGGGCAUCCUUGGAGUUGGAAAGUUUUUCGGUCUGGGAUGGGCCCGCGGGCUAUCAGGUUGUUGGUGGGGUAGUGGCCCACCAAGGCGACGACGGGUAGCCGGCCUGAGCGGGCGACCGGCCGCACUGGGACCUGGACACGGCCCAGACUCCUACGGGAGGCAGCAGUGGGGAAGAUUGCGCAAUGGGCGAAAGCCUGACGCAGCGACGCCGCGUGAGGGAUGACGGCCUUCGGGUUGUAAACCUCUUUCAGCAGGGAGGAAGCGAAAGUGACGGUACCUGCAGAAGAAGCACCGGCUAACUACGUGCCAGCCGCCGCCGUAA